rnacentral:rRNA from 1 species
GACCACGAGACCGANNGCGAACAAGUNCCGUGAGGGAAAGUUGAAAAGAACUUUGAAGAGAGAGUUCAAGAGUACGUGAAACCGUUCAGGGGUAAACCUGAGAAACCCGAAAGGUCGAACGGGGAGAUUCAGACGCGUCUCGGAUCACCGCGGCGAGUCGGCGACGCGUGACGGUCGGCCUCGCGCCGAUCGCUCCGUCGUCGUUCCGUCCGCGACCGAACGCGUGCACUUCUCCCCCUGUAGGACGUCGCGACCCGUUGGGAGCCGGUCGAAGGCGCGCGGUGGAGCCCGCGUAAGCUUCGUGCUCGCGCGGACCCGCGUCGCCCGGCCGGCUGUAUUCACAUACCGACGGUAUACUUAGAUAGGCGAGGGGCCGCGAUCAGUUCGCGUCCGGCCGGUCGCAAGCGCGUACGGAUAAUCUGGCAUUCGGACCUAGUGCCGGAUCCGGACCCGUACGGCUGCUGGUGGCCGUGUUCUCGGACAGUCCCCUGACACGCCGGUCUGCGGCGCUAUAGCUUUGGGUACUUUCAGGACCCGUCUUGAAACA